UACGGAGGAUGCAAGCGUUGUUCGGAAUUACUGGGCGUAAAGAGUGUGUAGGCGGGCAUUUAAGUCAGGGGUGAAAUCCCGAGGCUCAACCUCGGAACUGCCCUUGAUACUGGGUGUCUUGAGUCCGGAAGAGGUGAGUGGAACUGCGAGUGUAGAGGUGAAAUUCGUAGAUAUUCGCAAGAACACCGGUGGCGAAGGCGGCUCACUGGUCCGGAACUGACGCUGAGGCACGACAGCGUGGGGAGCAAACAGG
rnacentral:rRNA from 1 species